rnacentral:lncRNA from 1 species
AUUUUCACCUUGAAGCCAAGCCUUGUAAGAUGCUGAGGCUUUCACUGCUGCAUUGACUUGUUUCAGAACCUGCUUUUGGAGAAAACAAGCCAGAAAGCUCUUGACCAAAGGCAGGAGGCCCUGCCCCUGCUGCUUAGGUGCUCCCCAGAACCUCCUCUUGCUGGAACCUGUGGGGUUUCUGUGCAAGUCCAUGGCUCCUGAUACUGCUGUCACUGCUGCCUUUGGGCCCUCAAGACAGGCAGCCAGCCGGAGGUGCCCAUCAUCGACACCCAGAGAUACAAAAAGGACUGCAGUUCCUACACAAGCUCAUUGUCUUGCUCGGUCAAGAAGGAUGUGAUCUGUGAUGGAUAUGCAUUAGAAGCCAAAGGCAUUUGUAUGGACCCUCCCCUCCUGCUCUCUAGAGCAGCCACAGGUGAUUUUGGACUUGGCUGGUGGAGGCAGCCUCGGGAAGACAUCUUGGUGCUGAGACCUGCGGAGUUUCUUUUCAAGCCCCUGCCUCCUGCUAGUGCUGCCUUUUGGCGUGAGUGUUUGCUUGGGUCUUUCCACGCGUAAGUGUUCUCCUGGGGUGGGAGGUUGGUUGGUUGGUUGGG